rnacentral:rRNA from 1 species
ACUAAUAGUUAAGUUCUUUAAAUCCAAAGAAUUUGGCGGCAUCUCAUUCUAUUCAGAGGAACCUACCCCAUGAUUGAUAAUACACGAUUAGUAUUACUUAAUUUUUGUUUGUAUAUCUCCGUUAUCAGGUAAUCUUUUUAGAGUUAUAAAAUUUUCUUGAUCCUUAAUUAAGGGUUAUUUCAGGUCAAGGUGCAGCUAUAAUUAAGAGGAGGCGGGUUACAAUAAAUUUGAUUUUUACGGUUUUGAUUAUGAAAAUUUUUAAUUAAGUUGGAUUUGAUAGUAAUUUGUUUAACAUUAUAUAUUUGAUAUUAGCUCUGGGAUGUGU